rnacentral:rRNA from 1 species
GACGGGGGGGGCAAGUGUUCUUCGGAAUGACUGGGCGUAAAGGGCACGUAGGCGGUGAAUCGGGUUGACAGUGAAAGUCGCCAAAAAGUGGCGGAAUGCUCUCGAAACCAAUUCACUUGAGUGAGACAGAGGAGAGUGGAAUUUACGGUGUAGCGGUGAAAUGCGUAGAUAUCGUAAGGAAGACCAGUGGCGAAGGCGGGUCUCUGGACAGUUCCUGACGCUGAAGCACGAAGGCCAGGGGAGCAAACGGG